rnacentral:misc_RNA from 1 species
UUGAUUCAUUCUGUAAUGAUUCCACUCAGACAUGCCAAAAGGUAAGAAAUACAAGAGUUUGGGUCCCCCGGCGGGCGCCUGGUUCCGGGACGGCCCGCCCCCCUGACCGCCGCCCCCCUGUGAGGGGGGGAGGUGGCAGGUGAGCGUGGCCUGGUGCCCGGGGCGAAGACCCGCCGAAGCAACGGUGUAAAGGUAUAAGUUCACAGGGGGUUUGGGAGUUGUAAACUCGGUAAUGAUCCCUCCGCUGGUUCACCAACGGAGA